rnacentral:rRNA from 1 species
CAGUAGCCGCGGUAAUACGUAUGUCACAAGCGUUAUCCGGAUUUAUUGGGCGUAAAGCGCGUCUAGGUGGUUAUGUAAGUCUGAUGUGAAAAUGCAGGGCUUAACUCUGUAUUGCGUUGGAAACUGUGUAACUAGAGUACUGGAGAGGUAAGCGGAACUACAAGUGUAGAGGUGAAAUUCGUAGAUAUUUGUAGGAAUGCCGAUGGGGAAGCCAGCUUACUGGACAGAUACUGACGCUGAAGCGCGAAAGCGUGGGUAGCAAACAGGAUUAGAUACCCCGGUAGUCCCUGUCUCUUAUACA